AACCCAAAUUUUGACUUCUGUCAUGUGUGCAUUUGCUACUUGCUUAAAAGUACAGGACAGCCUGUGCUGAAGGCCUCAGCUGAACUUUAGACUUAGAAGACUUCUAUACAAAUAUGGAAAUAAGAAAAGUUAAAGAUAAAAGAUUUCCACGAAAUGUUUAUACUUCUAAAAACCGCAUGAUUCAGAGACGUUUAUAUUCCAUCACACGUCUGCUAUUUGGAGUCAUUCGAACCCCCCCCUGUGGGUUCUUAACAAAAGAGAACCAGACGAAUAAUCUUCUGAGGUAGGACAGUUGGACUUUGAACAUACAAUCUGCUGACCUUACGAAAUAGGGAACUGAAAUUAGGCUGCAAGGGCUAGUAUGUAUUUUCUGAGAAAGAUGACGAAGGUUUUGAUAUCUGUCUGAGACGUGGCUGCAGAGACGUGGCAUGGGUUUGAUAUAGAUUUGCAGGAGUAUAAGAGGAGGAAAAUUCACCCCUUCUCUCGCUCUCUCUCUCUCAGACUGAGUUCAGCAUAGACCCUUCUAGCUGGACUUAGUCUUUUCUCACCUUCUUUAUCUUUGAUUCCGGGCUCACUUGAAUACUUUGAACUUCUCUCAGGUUUUAUUCAUCUCAGAUAUGAUUAUUAUUAUAUUAUUUGUUAUUAUAUGAAUAUUAGUAUAACUUUUGACUUUGGAUAUACAGGUAUUGUUGUAUACUUUGUAUUAUUAUUUUUAACAUCUUGAUUACUUUUGAAUAUUAUAAUGCAUUUUGUAUUACUUUUAAUUGGGCAACAUCCAUCAUACAUGGAUUGCUUUUAAAACUAUAUUAAUUUUGGGAUUUGUAUUUUCUAUAUUUGAAGCUGAUUUUAAUACUUACUAAUCUGUUUGCAAGUUAUGAGUUGUAUUCUCAUUUCCUAUAUUCUUUGAAUAAAUUUGCAUACUAAAAUACCACCCCACCGUCUGACCAAGAUUGAAGUCUCUAAUUUUUUGCAUCAGUUUUGGAGGCACCCGCUGGAGAUCGUUGAAGUUUUCAUUUCAUUAAGUUUUGAUGCAACGCAAGACAAAAUAAAGAGAGGUAUGAGUGCAUGCUGAUACGGAACCUAUCCUGCGUAUAUUUACCACACGACUGGUUCUAAGGGUGACCCCUUUGGUGUGACUUCUGCAACAGUGCAGCUCAUCGACGAUUCGGGAGAGGUUGCUGUGCUCGUAGCUGGACAUCUGUGUUGGAUCCCAAGAACUGGACGCAUCGUCAUCACAUCGCACGCUAACUCUACAUCAUCUGAGAGACUUGUGCUUUAAUCUACCAGCUGAUAUAUAGAUUUACAAAUCCCUACAUCAAGAUGCCUCACAAGAUUAUUGAUCAAAAAGAUUCUUUUACUCCUAUUGCUACCAGCAGUGAUGAAGAAAUGUAUGAAUUAGAGGUGAAGGGUAAGGAAAGAUACGAGAUGUUGAAAAAGAUCAACGAAAGUUUGGAAAUUUGCGACAUGAUACCCCAAUCCGAUAAGGACAAAUAUCUUAAGAAGCUACCCAUUAAGAAGAGAAAGUAUGAUGAUAAGUUUAGAGAUGGAAAGAAGGGUAUGCUGUAGUAAGUCCUCGACUCAGCAAAAGUCCAGGUGAGGUCAGGGGUCGGAUGCUUUUAGUGCUCCUCGUCUGAUCAGCUUGGUGAAGAAUUCCUGUCAACUUUAACGCGGCUGGGGUUAAAGAGGUAUCUGCAGUCUACCUGAAAAGAUUCAUUCGCUUUUAUAUUUCCUUUAUGCUUACACGAUUAAGUGCUUAUCUGAAAUGUUUUACUUACUUAUUUUUCUGCAUAUGUAUUUGUUACCUUUGACUAUUAUGUAUCUUAUUUUCAAGGGAAAGGAUUUUGGGUGCGAGUCUUUUUGUCAAGACUCGAGUGGGGGACUGAUGUAACCCAAAUUUUGACUUCUGUCAUGUGUGCAUUUGCUACUUGCUUAAAAGUACAGGACAGCCUGUGCUGAAGGCCUCAGCUGAACUUUAGACUUAGAAGACUUCUAUACAAAUAUGGAAAUAAGAAAAGUUAAAGAUAAAAGAUUUCCACGAAAUGUUUAUACUUCUAAAAACCGCAUGAUUCAGAGACGUUUAUAUUCCAUCACACGUCUGCUAUUUGGAGUCAUUCGAACCCCCCCCUGUGGGUUCUUAACAAAAGAGAACCAGACGAAUAAUCUUCUGAGGUAGGACAGUUGGACUUUGAACAUACAAUCUGCUGACCUUACGAAAUAGGGAACUGAAAUUAGGCUGCAAGGGCUAGUAUGUAUUUUCUGAGAAAGAUGACGAAGGUUUUGAUAUCUGUCUGAGACGUGGCUGCAGAGACGUGGCAUGGGUUUGAUAUAGAUUUGCAGGAGUAUAAGAGGAGGAAAAUUCACCCCUUCUCUCGCUCUCUCUCUCUCAGACUGAGUUCAGCAUAGACCCUUCUAGCUGGACUUAGUCUUUUCUCACCUUCUUUAUCUUUGAUUCCGGGCUCACUUGAAUACUUUGAACUUCUCUCAGGUUUUAUUCAUCUCAGAUAUGAUUAUUAUUAUAUUAUUUGUUAUUAUAUGAAUAUUAGUAUAACUUUUGACUUUGGAUAUACAGGUAUUGUUGUAUACUUUGUAUUAUUAUUUUUAACAUCUUGAUUACUUUUGAAUAUUAUAAUGCAUUUUGUAUUACUUUUAAUUGGGCAACAUCCAUCAUACAUGGAUUGCUUUUAAAACUAUAUUAAUUUUGGGAUUUGUAUUUUCUAUAUUUGAAGCUGAUUUUAAUACUUACUAAUCUGUUUGCAAGUUAUGAGUUGUAUUCUCAUUUCCUAUAUUCUUUGAAUAAAUUUGCAUACUAAAAUACCA